rnacentral:rRNA from 1 species
AACAGAGGUCUCAAGCGUUGUUCGGAUUCAUUGGGCGUAAAGGGUGCGUAGGCGGCGCGGUAAGUCGGGUGUGAAAUCUCGGGGCUUAACUCCGAAACUGCAUUCGAUACUGCCGUGCUUGAGGACUGGAGAGGAGACUGGAAUUUACGGUGUAGCGGUGAAAUGCGUAGAUAUCGUAAGGAAGACCAGUGGCGAAGGCGGGUCUCUGGACAGUUCCUGACGCUGAGGCACGAAGGCCAGGGGAGCAAACGGG